rnacentral:lncRNA from 1 species
AAGAAAAUGUUUUCCUUAAAUAAUACUUGUAAGAUAUUUACUGGAAGAAAAAAGACAAAUUUAGGUGUUCAUUCAUUUGUUCAGUAAUUCAGCUUUAGCCUAGCACCCAUUUCCCAGGGUAGGUUUGGGAUAUUAAUAGGAUUUAAUUAGAAUUAGUUUUUCACUUUUUUCGAACACUAUUUUUAAGAAAUCACUUGGUCCUUUAUGAAUUCUCUAGAUAUUUUUCUGCCUCAUUUACUAAAAUAAAUAAAAUAGUUAAAUAGUUAUUCGGGUUUUUCCAAUCAAGAUGCUGCUUCUUACGUAUCCUUUCUUUUUAUUUUCUUUUCUCUAAUAUCUUUUGGAGGACUGUGAUAUGAAAGAAAGAUCAUCGGACUACAAGGUAAAGGAUAAAUCUGAGACACAGAUUUGCUCUUUUCUAACUGGGUGACCUUUUGAGCAAGUUAUUUCACUUCUCUGGCCUAAGUAAAAAUGGGAUAUUGGAUAAGAUGUUUCCAGAAAUCCCUUACUUCUAAGGUUCUAUGAUCUCCACUGGAGAUGGGCUAAAUUUUCCUACUACUCCCCUGGUCAAAAACCUAAAAUGAUUCUCUGCAGUCUACUAUAUCAAACAAUAAACUGCUAUACCAGCUCACCACAAUUAGUCCUCACCCAGGCCUCUGUCCAUGACUUACUUUUAAUGUGCUUCCUCUAUCUCAGGUAUGUGGCACGCGCCAUCCUCUAGCCAGAUGUGACACUUUCUCAUGCCACUGCUCUCCUAGGUCAUGCAGGUAUGCCUCUCACUCACUCCAACCAAACCUCGCCCUCCUGGCCUGCAGAGGUACAUCUCCUUGAGACCUCCUCAGACCACCUUGGCCCACCUUGACUUUCUCAGAUUCUAAGUGGCUCAGUGAAAUUAAGGAGAAGAUGGAUUUAUUUAAAAAUAGAGUUAAGAGGAGAUGAUAACAAGAGAAGAAAUGAAAAGGAAGCUGGCAGAACCAAGAAAAGAUGUUAAGGAGAAAAAUAAAACCAUUGCGCAACUGAAGACCGCAUUUCUGGAGGCUAGAAGUCCAAAUUCAACUUUAUUGGGCUGAAAUCAAAGAGUCAGGAGGAUACCUGUGAUGGCAUUUAGGCCCACCUGGGUGAGCCAGGACACUCUCUCCAUCUCAAGAUCCUUACUUGAAUCACAUCUGCAAAGCCCUCUUUCUGCCAGGCAAGAAGCAGGAUUGCAGGCCACCUUUUGCAGGCCCAGCCCAGGUUUGGAACAAGGCUUCCUCUGCAAAAGCUGGAUGCUGUGAGCUCUGUCAGCUGCAAUGCUCUACCCCACACCUGCCUGGGUUUCCGGAGUGCAUACUCUAUUUGGGAGCAAUGCCUGCCUUGAACUCCAACAGUAUUUUGUCAGCAUCUUUCCCCAAAGACUAAACUCUACAGCCUAUAUCAAGUAUCAGCCACUGGAGAAAGCCGAGAAAUGGAGAAAUUGAGAAACUUGGCAACACAUCCAGUAAAGAGCUGAAGCUUUUAUAACAGCACAAUACAGGAACAAAAAGGAUAGCUUUGGGGAAUGCCAGCCUUUCCAAGGUAAGUUAUCAAAUGUCAGUGUGAACAAUCAUCAACACUGGAAAAAGAAAUUGUUUAAUUCUCAUAAGCUAACAAAAUGAAUAUGACAUACCAUUUCCCAUGCUACCUAGGUGAAGCAUGCAAGUUGAAUAGUCAUAGCAAUGCUAGUAUUAUUUUUUAUUUUAUACAUAUAUAUUUUUUAAUUAUUAUACUUUAAGUUUUAGGGUACAUGUGCACAUUGUGCAGGUUAGUUACAUAUGUAUACAUGUGCCAUGCUGGUGCACUGCACCCACUAACUCGUCAUCUAGCAUUAGGUAUAUCUCCCAAUGCUAUCCUUCUCCCCUCCCCCCACCCCACAACAGUCCCCAGAGUGUGAUAUUCCCUUUCCUGUGUCCAUGUGAUCUCAUUGUUCAAUUCCCACCUAUGAGUGAGAAUAUGUGGUGUUUGGUUUUUUGUUCUUGCGAUAGUUUACUGAGAAUGAUGAUUUCCAAUUUCAUCCAUGUCCCUACAAAGGACAUGAACUCAUCAUUUUUUAUGGCUGCAUAGUAUUCCAUGGUGUAUAUAUGCCACAUUUUCUUAAUCCAGUCUAUCAUUGUUGGACAUUUGGGUUGGUUCCAAGUCUUUGCUAUCGUGAAUAAUGCUGCAAUAAACAUACGUGUGCAUGUGUCUUUAUAGCAGCAUGAUUUAUAGUCCUUUGGGUAUAUACCCAGUAAUGGGAUGGCUGGGUCAAAUGGUAUUUCCAGUUCUAGAUCCCUGAGGAAUCGCCACACUGACUUCCACAAUGGUUGAACUAGUUUACAGUCCCACCAACAGUGUAAAAGUGUUCCUAUUUCUCCACAUCCUCUCCAGCACCUGUUGUUUCCUGACUUUUUAAUGAUUGCCAUUCUAACUGGUGUGAGAUGGUAUCUCAUUGUGGUAUUACAUAGACAACUGUGAAGAUAAUUAUUUUGAUGAGUAAAUUACUACAAUAAAUUGUCAUACGGGAAAUAUCCAGAUCAAGAAUAGAAAUUGGGUCCCCACACAAACCCUCCCUUUCCCUCCUCCCAUCACAACCCUCUCUCUUCCCCAGAGGAAUCGCUGGCCUGACUUUGUGGCAAUCACUUUCUUGCUUUUCCUUAUAGCUUUAUCACCCAAGUGUGUGCUCCCAAAUACUAUAGUAAAUGGUGUCUUUUUCUGCUGUGUCUUUUAGGUCUAUUUUAAUCUAUAGGUCAUCCAACUAUCCAUUUUUUCCACUUUUUUCCUCAUAAAAAUGAUUUUUUAAGAAACCCUAAAUACUAUAGUAAAUGGUGUCUUUUUCUGCUGUGUCUUUUAGGUCUAUUUUAAUCUAUAGGUCAUCCAACUAUCCAUUUUUCCCCUUUUUUUCCUCAUAUAAAUGAUUUUUUAAGAAACCAGGCCAUGUAUGCUGUAAUCUGGCAGUUUCCCAUAGCCUGGAUUCAGCUGAUUGCAUCAAUGCGAAUAUUAUAACUAUGUAGCAUGACUCAAGCCAUAAGGAGGGUAUCAGGUAGAUUUAAAUGGAAAUAUCUAGUCUGCCACAUAUACAAGUAUAUUAAAACUCAGUUCCUCUAACAAGGGCCCCGGGGACUUAUUUAUUGAUUUACAAAAGUUUUGAACAGUUGCUUUGAGGUAAUCUCUUAAUCUCUUUCUUCCUCCCUCUUCCUUCUUCUUGCUUUUUUUUUUUUCUUUUUAAGGGACAGCAUCGUUCUAUGUUGCCCAGGCUGGUCUUGAACUC